UGUAGCCCUCUGCCAGAGAAAAUGGAGUUCAGGGAGGCCGUGUGCGGCGUCCCUGAGCUCCAUUUUUGCUGGCAGAAGACUACA
rnacentral:pre_miRNA from 1 species